rnacentral:sRNA from 20 species
AUGCCUUGUGAUAAAACAAUAUUAAUUUCAUCGUAAUUACCGUAAAAAAGUAGUUAUAAAGGAACUGUGGUAUAAU